CAUUUCCUACGGGGGGCAGCAGUGAGGAAUAUUGGUCAAUGGGCGCGAGCCUGAACCAGCCAAGUCGCGUGAGGGAAGACGGUCCUAUGGAUUGUAAACCUCUUUUGUCGGGGAGCAAAACACGCCACGUGUGGCGUUCCGAGAGUACCCGAAGAAAAAGCAUCGGCUAACUCCGUGCCAGCAGCCGCGGUAAUACGGUGGAUGCGAGCGUUAUCCGGAUUUAUUGGGUUUAAAGGGUGCGCAGGCGGUAGAUC
rnacentral:rRNA from 1 species